GACGGACCAGGCUCUGGCCCGUAGUCACUGGGUCACAGGGUUAACACAAGCCAAUUACCAAAAUAGUUAAAGGAGGAGACAGGAAACACAAUAUUUACCACAUGACUGCCAGAGUGAUGCAACAGACACACAAAUACACACCCCGGCGCACACACACACACACACACACACACCUCCUGGUUCUCACCGACAGAUUCGAGGUGCUAAUUCCGAAAACAUCAGCUGAACUUUUUUCACUCCGUGUUUCAGCGCUGAUAAGUCCGACUGUCCGUGCAUCUGAUAUGUUUAUAUUGGGAGAUGUUUGCUGUGACCCUGGCGUGUGGCUGCGAGACGCUGCGGGAGGUCGCGCAGUUUCCUGUUUAUCACAUCGUCCCCCGUGAAUGUCAAACAGUUUACCUAACAAGGCAAAAUUUGAGAUGCAAGUGCGCUUCAGGUCCCCACCACUCGACUGGGGCAGCAAAUUUCACCGCAUCAGGCCACCAUCAAUUCACAUUGGUUUCCUUGUAGUGGAACAGAAGAGUUUGUCAUUGAUUAGAGAGAGCUGUGUUUGUGUUUAUGUAAUUAUAAUUUAUAUUGUUUUAAAUGGUAAAAUGAUAGUGCAUUUUCCUCAAGAAGUCUUCCAUCCAUUUUCUUUUGCCACUCAUCCUCACAAGGGAGUGCUGAAGCCUAUCCCAGCUGUCAACGGGCAGGAGGCGGGUUACACCCUGAACUGGUUCCCAGCCAUUCGCAGGUCACAUCGAGACAAACAGUCACACUCACAGUCACACCUAGGGGCAAUUUAGAGUGUCCAAUUAAUGUUGCAUGUUUUUGGGAUGUGGGAGGAAACCGGAGUGCCCGGAGAAAACCCACGCAGCCACGGGGAGAACAUACUGUACAACCUCCACACAGGUGGGUCCAGGAUUGAAUCCGGGACCUCAGAACUGUGAGGGCAAUGCUUUACCAGCUGAUCCCAUGUGCCGCCUCUUAAGAUGUAUUAAAAAUGGAAUUUGCUGUUUUUUGUGGGAGUUAUGGAACAGAUUAACUGCCUUGAUAUUGUCAAAGACGUGCAUUUUCUUAAAAACACCUACUGAAAACAACUAACAUGUGCAAAAGUACUGUAUUCACAGUAUUGACGCAUAUUUUUCAUAAGUUCUGCAAUUUUGCUUUCCAGACAACUGUUUUGUUGGUGC